rnacentral:rRNA from 1 species
GUAGUCUCGCACAGAUGCAUAUCAAUAAGCGGAGGAAAAGAAACUAACAAGGAUUCCCUUAGUAACGGCGAGUGAAGCGGGAAGAGCUCAAAUUUGAAAUCUUCAAGGUUUUACCUUGACGAAUUGUAGUUUAAAGAAGUGUUUUCUGUUGAAGUUUUGGUAAAAGUUCUUUGGAAUAGGACAUCAUAGAGGGUGAGAAUCCCGUAUUUGACCAUUAUUUUCAGCUGUGUGAUACACUUUCAAAGAGUCGGAUUGUUUGGGAAUGCAGUCCAAAAUGGGUGGUAAAUUUCAUCUAAAGCUAAAUAUUGGCGAGAGACCGAUAGCGAACAAGUACCGUGAGGGAAAGAUGAAAAGAACUUUGAAAAGAGAGUUAAACAGUACGUGAAAUUGUCAAAAGGGAAGCGUUUGACACCAGUGUUGUUUUCUCGAAAAUCAAUUAAAAAGAGUUAGAUUUUGUUGUGUAUUGACCUUAACAGCUUGCAUUUCAAUUUUCUUGCUUUUUUUAAUGCACUUUUCGUUUAACAAGUCAACAUCAGUUUCUUUUGUUGUAAAAAGGUCAUUGGAAGGUGGCUUCCUUUUCGGAGAAAGUGUUUAUAGCCUUUGACUCCUGCAAUCGGAGAGACUGAGGUCUGCAGCGUAGAUCCUUCGGGGUUAGAUACAUUUGUGCUAAGUUAUAGCUUUUUAUAGACAACUUGUUGACUAUGAUUAGUCUUGUAGCUUACUCGCUUAUGCUAUUUUACCUACGCUUAGGAUGUUGAAGAUGUAGCACAUCAU